rnacentral:misc_RNA from 1 species
UUUCCGUAGGUGAACCUGCGGAAGGAUCAUUGUCGAAUUCCUAUAGAAUGUCGGUGGACAGGCGGACUUGUUGGAACAUACGCGGGGGGUGCAUGGGGGAGUAGCCCUGUCACUAAACUGUGGUCGAUGGGGACUGUUUGGGAGCCCACGCAAACCCCGGUCUAACACUUAAAUCGGCAGAGAACGUGCCAAGGAAUGCUCUAUGAGAAAAUCUAAGCCCCCCAACCUCGCAUGUGGGAUUCGGGGAGGUGGAUUAUGCGAUCAUGACAUAAAUGACUCUCGACAAUGGAUAUCUCGGCUCCUGUAUCGAUGAAGAACGCAGCAAAAUGCGAUACAUGGUGUGAAUUGCAGGAUCCCGUGAAUCAUUGAGUUUUUGAACGCAAGUUGCGCUCGAAGCCAUUUUUUGGUUGACGGCACACCUGCCUGGGUGCCACGCAUGGAGUUGUCCCAGGACAUCCUACGGUAGGAGACUCGUCUGUUUGGUCGGUUGUUGGGAGAGAAGGGACAACGGGGGUUGAUGCUGGCCUUCCGUUCUAUGGUAUGCGGUUGGUUUAAAAUCGAGGUCCUCAGUGACAUGCGUCGUGAUGAGUUGGGGAAGACAACAUUUGUCGCAUGUCGGUUGGUGAACCUCCUGCAGUCCCAUGGCCCUGUCGACACUUCGAUGGGGAGGCCAUCUAAGCCCC